AAGGCAGCAGAGCUUCUCUGAGCCUCUUGUUCUGUCAGAGACCCCAGGACAAAGGAAACUGAAGACAAAUCCCAAGUGCCUAGGAUCUGACAGCAGUGGUGAAAUGGAGAAGACAAAGCUGCUCUAAGAAGCUCUUAUCUCUGCAAGUAUUUCUUCUGUUUUCUCCACGCUUUUGAAGGAUGAUGAGGACAUGCAUGAGACCAUGUGAAACGAUCCACGUAUUUAUUGACAGGAGGAUCAGAAGUUCAAAGUCAGCUGUAUAGUGAAUUCAAGGACAGACAUGGCUUAAGACACUGUCUCAAUAAAUAAGUUUGACAGUAA